GACGAACGCUGGCGGCGUGCUUAACACAUGCAAGUCGAACGGAAAGGCCCUGCUUUUGUGGGGUGCUCGAGUGGCGAACGGGUGAGUAACACGUGAGUAACCUGCCCUUGACUUUGGGAUAACUUCAGGAAGCUGGGGCUAAUACCGGAUAGGAGCUCCUGCUGCAUGGUGGGGGUUGGAAAGUUUCGGCGGUUGGGGAUGGACUCGCGGCUUAUCAGCUUGUUGGUGGGGUAGUGGCUUACCAAGGCUUUGACGGGUAGCCGGCCUGAGAGGGUGACCGGCCACAUUGGGACUGAGAUACGGCCCAGACUCCUACGGGGGGCAGCAGUGGGGAAUAUUGCACAAUGGGCGGAAGCCUGAUGCAGCAACGCCGCGUGCGGGAUGACGGCCUUCGGGUUGUAAACCGCUUUCGCCUGUGACGAAGCGUGAGUGACGGUAAUGGGUAAAGAAGCACCGGCUAACUACGUG
rnacentral:rRNA from 1 species